UUUCCGUAGGUGAACCUGCGGAAGGAUCAUUAUCGUACAACUGAGGUGCGAGGGCUGUCGCUGACCUUUCAAAGGGUUGUGCACGCCCAAGCACUUUCGCAUAUCCACAUCACCCCUUUGUGCAUCACCGCGUGGGCCCCCCUUUGCAGGAGGGCUUGCGUUUUCACAUAAAACUUGAUACAAUGUAGAAUGCCUUUUUCAUUAUUUUUGCGGUCACACGCAAUCAAUACAACUUUCAACAACGGAUCUCUUGGCUCUC
rnacentral:misc_RNA from 1 species